rnacentral:rRNA from 1 species
UACGUAGGGUGCGAGCGUUGCCCGGAUUUAUUGGGCGUAAAGGGCGCGUAGGCGGCUACGCACGUCCGUUGUGAAAUCGCUCGGCUGCAACUGGGCGGGGUCAGCGGAUACGGCGUAGCUGGAGCAAGCUAGGGGGCAAUGGAAUUCCCGGUGUAGUGGUGGAAUGCGUAGAUAUCGGGGAGGAACACCAGUGGCGGAAGGCGGUUGCCUGGAGCUUUGCUGACGCUGAUGCGCGAAAGCGUGGG